rnacentral:rRNA from 1 species
GAUGAACGCUGGCGGCGUGCUUAACACAUGCAAGUCGAGCGAAGCGGUUUGAAGGAAGUUUUCGGAUGGAAUUCAAAUUGACUGAGCGGCGGACGGGUGAGUAACGCGUGGAUAACCUGCCUCACACAGGGGGAUAACAGUUAGAAAUGACUGCUAAUACCGCAUAAGCGCACGGCAUCGCAUGAUGCAGUGUGAAAAACUCCGGUGGUGUGAGAUGGAUCCGCGUCUGAUUAGGUAGUUGGUGAGGUAACGGCCCACCAAGCCGACGAUCAGUAGCCGACCUGAGAGGGUGACCGGCCACAUUGGGACUGAGACACGGCCCAAACUCCUACGGGAGGCAGCAGUGGGGAAUAUUGCACAAUGGGCGAAAGCCUGAUGCAGCGACGCCGCGUGAGUGAAGAAGUAUUUCGGUAUGUAAAGCUCUAUCGGCAGGGAAGAAAAUGACGG